UAGCUCAGUGGUAGAGCGUUUGCCUUGCAUGCAGGAGGCCCUGGGUUCGAUUCCUCAG
rnacentral:tRNA from 1 species